UUCUGAGCCAAGUGGCUGACUUUUGCGUUUUAACUGUUUUAUUGUUUAACGUGACAAACACUGAAACCUGCCUAAAGCAAAUAGAUUCCAAGGGGCUACAGAGCAACGAGUCUUGUGAAAUCCCGCCUGACCCCCCAAGCGUCCCCUUCGCAUCUUUUAGCCAGCCGCUGCGCUGACUUGGAUGCUUUUCCAGACACUAGAGAGAUUGCUGUGGUGACAAAGAAGAGCUUAUGUGAGCACACAGUGAUACAGCAGCCUCCUACCAGCCAAGAGAAGAAGCCUAAGAAUGACAUCUACUUUGCCAGCACCUUUAUCUUGGACUUCCCAGCCUCCAGAACUGUGAGAACCCACCCGAAUACCUCAGGAUAAUUUCCCCAUUUCAAGAUCUUUAAUUACAAUUGCAAAGAUUCCAUGGCAACGGAUGCAGCAGAUCCAGAACCACGACUUCCGCCCAAAGUGGAGGAGCAGGACGUCAGCGAGCUGCCGGUGUCCUGCGCUGGGGAGAGCCGAUGAAGCUCCCCCGGCCGCCUGGAUUUAACGUGGAAUCUGCGACUCCCAAGCAGGGCACGGAGGGAAAGGACAGGAGACUUCCACAACCCAGAAUUUCAUCCCUUUUCCUGCAGAAAGGAACCAGGGCUCCUGGGAGAAAUGAUUGAUUCCAAAACUAAACAGAGAAAGUCCCAGAGGGAGCUGUAAAUCUCUAGCCAGACACCAGAUCAAUGGCUUCCAGGGUGGAACAGAAAUGGAUGCAGACUGUACAAAGGAAGUUUUAAGGUGAAGGAUAACGUUCUAAACCUGACUGUGGUGGUGUGCCUGGCUGGCUCACUUGGUGGAGAAUGUGACUCUUGAUCUCAGGGUUCUGAGUUCACGCUGC